GCCUCCGUAGCUCAGUUGGUAGAGCAUUACGCUUUUAACGUGAAGGUCCGGGGUUCGAGUCCUUGCGGAGGUA
rfam:Trichinella zimbabwensis scaffold3s, whole genome shotgun sequence.